rnacentral:tRNA from 1 species
GGAGAGGUGCCCGGAGUGGUUGAUCGGGGGCCGGGGCUCUGGUCCCGGUCGGGUCCUUGAGGCCCACGCAGGUUCGAAUCCUGCCUUCUCCG